GCCAUCAAUAACACUUCUGUUUUGUUUAUUCCAGUUAGGACAGAGUCUGAUACACCAGUCUGACGUCAGCUGCAUUGAAAAAGAAAAUCGCGGAGACAUGUCCUGGAGAAAUUGAGAGGUCUGUACUUCCACUUUUCUGUGAGACUGUAUCUUUGUGUGUUUCCUUUCAGCGUGUGGGAACAUAGAAAGAGCCCUUCCAGAUCUGUAGGAUGUUAAGGAAUUGUGGUAUUCUGCUCAUAAUUCACUGACUACUUGAGUCCAAUAUCAUUUCGCCAAACUGGCCUCUCCACAGAGUUCACACAAACAGCAGCAUUCAGAGCAUAGGAAAGCAAAGCACGAAGAAAAGCUAUAAAUCCACAUGACAUUCCAGACUUCAAGUACUGGCCAAUUACAUCUGAAUGGUUGCAAAUAAGCACAGAGUCCAUAAACAGGCACCAGAGCCCUUGUUUAUCCAAACAAAGUCUACGUCUAUAUCCAUUCAACCAUUGUGAGUGUUCUCAGAUUGUCAGUUCAUCUGAAGGCAGCCCUAUUUAGGGAAGUUUUUGAUGUUUGAUGUUUUUAUUAUUAUUAUUAUUAUUAUUAUUAUUAAAGAUUUUUAACAUAAACUUUCCAAACAAAACAUCCAUCUUAUCAUCUCUUACACAUCUUGGCUACUUUUAGCCAGUGACAUCCAUCAUUCCCUUCUAAUGAUUUCAUCCUAUCUCUCUUCUGUUUACAAUUUGUCUCUUUACUACUGUUUAUAUAAUCAAAAUCUUAACAUCCUGACUUUUAACUCUUAUUAACAAUAUUUCUUAUCUCCAUUUUUCACAAGACUUCUUGUUAUCCUCCAAGCGUAUUCAAUUGAACACCAUUGCCCUUCAAAUAAUUCACAAAUUUACUCCAGUCCUUCAGGAAUUUUUGGUCCCGCUGUUCUCGGAUUCUCCCGGUCAUCUUAGCUAAUUCUGUGUACUCCAUCAAUUGACUGAAUCAAAAAUAACAUUUUUGGUAGCACAUUCAUUUUUAUAACCGAUAUCCUUCCCCAAAGUGACAAUUUCAUCCUUCCCCACACUUCCAAAUCUCUCUUAAUCUUAUUCCAUACCUGGUUGUGGUUUUAUUGAUAGAAAUUUAUAUUUUGGUGGGUUAACAAUAUUCUUUCUUUACCACCCCUGUUUCUGUUUAUUAUUGCAACUGAUCCACUAUCUUUUUGUCCAUAUUUUUAACAAACUUUUUAUUUUUAUUUACUUUAAAGCCUGCUACUUGUCUAAACUGUUCAAUUUUUUCUAGUACUUCCUUCGGACUUGUUAUUGGUUCAAUUGUUAUUACCAAGUCAUCCAUAAAGGCUUUUACUUUAUAUUCUUUCCUUCUGACUGAUAUUCCUUUAAUUCCUUCUGCUAACCUUAUAUUAUUCAGGAGAAUUCCAGAACCGAUAUGAAUAACAAUGGUGAUAGUGGACACCCUUGUCUUGUCCCUUUGUAAUUUCAAUAUUUUCUGUUAAUACAUUAUUUUCAAUAAUUUUUGCCUUUUGACUGGAAUAUAUUGCUUUUAAACUUCUCAUAAACAAUUGACCCAUUUGCAUCCUUUCGAAGUUUUUAAUCUUAAAUUCCCUAGAAUUUAAGGCCUUUUCAGCAUCCACAAAUAUUAUGGCUGCCUGCUUUUCAUUCCUGGCCGUCAAGUAUUCAAUAAUAUUCACAAUAUUCCUUAUAUUGUCCUUCAUCUGGCAGCCAGGAAGAAAACCUUAAUAUUUGCAAAUAGUUUAUAAUCACUGUUCAACAAAGAAAUCGGCCUGUAGUUUUUAACAUGUCAUGUCUGAGUCUGGUUUGGGUAUCAGUGUAAUAUAUGCUUCUUUCCAAGUCUCUGGUGUUUCUCCUUUUUUCAAAAUAUUGUUCAUUACUUCCUCCAAUGGUGCCAGUAGGGUCUAGCUGAAAUUUUUAUCAUCAUCUUUUAUUUAUUUAUUUUUUUAUUUAUUACUUAUUUACCCCACUCAUCUGGCUGGGCUUCCUCAGGCACUCUGGGCGGCUUCCAACAAAAUAUUAAAAUACGGUAAUGCAUCAAACAUUAAAAGCUUCCCCAAACAGGGCUGCCUUCAGAUGUCUUCUAAAAGUCUGGUAGUUGUUUUUCUCUUUGACAUCUUGUGGGAGGGUGUUUGUCAGGAUGGGUGCCACUACCGAGAAGGCCCUCUGCCUGGUUCCCUGUAACUUGGCUUCUCGCAGUGAGGCAACCGCCAGAAGGCCCUUGGUGCUGAACCUCAGUGUCCAGGUAGAACGAUGGGGGUGGAGAUGCUCCUUCAGAUAUACUGGACUGAGGCUGUUUAGGGCUAUAAAGGUUACUUUGAAUUGUGCUCGGAAACGUACUGGGAGCUAAUGUAGGUCUUUCAAGACCGAUGUUAUGUGGUCUUGGCGGCCACUCCCAGUUACCAGUCUAGCUGCCGCAUUCUGGAUUAGUUGUAGUAUCUGGGUCACCUUCAAAGGUAGCCCCACAUAGAGCGCAUUGCAGUACUCCAAGCGAGAGAUAACCAGAGCAUGCACCACUCUGGCGAAGCAGUCCGAGGGGAAGAUAGGGUCUCAGCCUGCAUACCAGAUGGAGCUGGUAAACAGCAGAAAUAGUAUCUCGGGUUAAGAACUUUGCUUCAGGAUAAGAACAGAAAUCUCGCAGCAUCAGCGGGAGACCCUAUUAGCUAAAGUGGUAUCUCAGGUUAAGAACAGUGUCAGGUUAAGAACGGACCUCAAGAACGAAUUAAGUUCUUAACCCGAGGUACCACUGUAUAUUGUUUCUCCAACGGGUGUUUUAAUCUCCACACAUCAAUCAAAUUGCAGCUUUCUACCAUAGAGAAGAAAGUUUUGGGUAGUUUACCUUCUUUCUAUUCUAUUCCCAUUUCUCAUUCUAUCAAUUUCCAAUGAAAUUACCCCAUUCAGGUCCCCCAUAAUUAUUUUUUGAUCCACAAAGAUUUGUCUUGCUUCAUAUUUAUUUUUAUAUACAACACCACCCCUCUUUUACUCCUGUCUGAUGAAAUAAAUUCACUUCCUAAUUUCUUUUUUACCAAAAUUCUUCUAUGUUUUCUUGCAACAUGAGUCUCUCAAAAACAAAUAAUAUCUAAGUUCUUUUUAAUAGAAUCUUUUCAACUUUAUUUCUUUUAGUUUUGUUAUUCAAACCAUUAACACUCCAUGUCAUAAGUGUUCAUGCCGUUUUGUUUUUGCUACUAUUUGUGAACUAGAGUCUUUUAAACUUAUCCUUCCUCCUCCUCCUCUUCUUCUUCUUCUAAUUUAUUAUCUUCUACUUCUACUUCUUGGUCUAUGGUAUCUGUUCCUGCUGCUGCCCCUUCUUCCUCUUUAUCCAGUUCCCUGUACCUCUGGAGGAAUUUUUUUACUUCAUCUUUUUCAGUUUAACUUUUCCUUGUAGUAGAAUGAGACUCCUUCCAGAUACUCCCAUUUAAAAUCAAUAUUGUUUUUUCUCACCACUUGUGUCAGAGGUUUAUAUCCAUCACUUCAUUUCAGCUGACGAACUGGAAUUUCCUUAAAUAUGAUUAUCAUUGCUCUAUCAAUAUAGAACUUCUUUUCUCUUGUUUUUUUAGCAAAAUUAAAUUUCUCAUCUACUUAUCUUUAAAUAUCAUCAAACAAUCUCCUGGAAACUUUUUUCCUUUUUUUGAUUUAACUUUUAUCCUAAAUGCAUUCAAUACUGUAUUGGCAAAUUCAUCUUUUCCAAUUCCUAGCCAUUGUGCAAUUUCAAUAAUUAAUUCUUCUAAAAUAUUCUGUCCUGCUGUUUCUGGGAGAGAUCUGAUUCUCAAAUUUAUCUCUCUUUGCUUCAAUUCCUGCACCACAGUUGCAUCCCACAAUUCCUCCUGUUCCUUAUUCAGCUCUGACACUGCACUUUUAUUUUUCUCAUCCUCCUUUUUUAAAUUCCUUACUUUUCGUUGCAUAGGUUUCAAUCUUUCCUCUAAAUUUUGUGUUCUCUUGCUCACAUCUUUUAUCUGGGCUUUCAUCUCAUUCACAGUUAAAUCUAAUUUUUUGUCCAUCUGCUCCCAUCUACUUUCCAUAUUUGUCUCACUUUGUUUAAUAUCUUUAAUAUCUUUCUUCAGUUCUGCAAACAUUUUUGCAACAUCUCCUUUCCCUUCCAUUUCUUGCUUUGACCCUCUCUGGGUCUCUCCUAAUGUUGCCCCUCCCCUCCUUUUUUCUGUGAUGAUGUCAUUCUUAAACUGUUAUUCCCUCUUUCACCACUAGGUGGCCCUUUUGCCUCCAACCAGUUCUAUAUCAAAUGUAUAUAGCCGAGAGGGAGACAAAGGGUAAAUGCUGCAAUAAUCCAAUAAUUAUUUGUACAAAAACAAAGAGAAAGCAGGAGAAAACGUCUUCCACCACUUACACAGAUUUUUCGCACUUUCCACUGUGUCCCCGUCCCAAGAAAAAGAAGAAAUCAAAACCAAGUACCAACAAAACAAAACAAAACAAAUUCUUCCGCCUCUUGGUGGCUUAAUCCAACUUCCCCUGCAUUAUAUUCCAGGAGAAAGGAAAAGAGGAAGGCAUUCACUACAAUUAUAAUGUCUUAACAAUGAAAAAGGUGAAGUUAAAAGAGAGAGAGAAAAUAAAUCCAUCAUGCUCAUUAACCAAAAGGGGGAGGGUGUCCCCAAGUCUCUUCCUGUAAAUAUCUCCUCAAAUUUCUUACAGUACCAGACUUUAGCAGUCUUUUUAUAUUUGUCUCUGCUGGUCUGGUAUUUUAACUCGCAAAAAUAGCUCCAUAAACAUAUUUUUUACAAAUUGCACAGUUUAAAUUAAAAUUGAAAGUAAAAGCCGGAAGCUCCUUCUCCAGCGGGCUCCUUCAACUCCCAAAGGGUUUCAAAUAAGUUUAUUUUCUAGGGAUUUCCACCUCCCUUUCAGUAAACCAAACCUUCAGAACUAAAAAAGUAUAUUUAUUAUUUUUAUUCGCUGUAGGAGAUUAGAAUCUUACUCCGUUUUGCAGGUAAUUCAUGCAGUGUAAAUCAAUCACAGUCGGGGCUGGCCUCCUUUUUUAUCCCUUCUGUCUUCCGAAUCUUUCUCAAUUAGAAUUUCCCAACAUUUUGCCAGAUUCAGGUUUCUUUUUGUUCGAAAAUCAGCCACUGUGCUGGAUAGACUCAAGGCUUCAAUCCUCCGAGUAGUUAACGGCAUCCCGCGCUGGUGUCUUGAUCUCGCUGCACUUUCCGCUCUCCAAGGGGAGCGUUUUCGGCGCCGGAGAGACGUCCUUAUGGUGCUGGUGGCCUCAAAAUAAUCCUUUUGAGGGUUUGGGGGGGCUGCGGCGCCCUUGCAGACUCCCCCUUUCUUUCGCAAAGAGCUGAACUCUCCCCUAAGGGCUGAGUCCCAUCUCUUCUCAGCUCUGUGGACCAACUGGAAGUCGAUGUUUGAUGUUUUAGCGUGUCUUUAAUAUUCUGUUGGGAGCUGCCCAGCCUUAUGGAUGGGGUUUGAAUAAUGAUAUAUUAUAUUAAUUAAUUAAGGUAAAACAUAUCUUUAUUCCUCUAAUUUAUCAGUAUCAGUCUUUUGGCCACAUUUAGGAAAUGCAUAAUCCACUUUUGUAAUCCAGUUGACAGCUUACAUGCAAUUGGUAUAUUAUUCCAAAGGAUAUUUUCCUCUGAAAGUCUUCCCAUUAGAAUUCAGCUUUUUCAGUGUCACACAUAUUUGCUUAACCACCCACCCCAAAGGAGAAAGAAAAGUGAGAGAGUCCUGGACAGAUAAUUUCCACAAGGAUAGUUCUAUAUCACAAGACGGGCAUGAGAUCAGGUGGUCCAUUCCCUGGCCAUACUUCCUCAGGGAGACAUAGAGAAGAGAGGAGAGAAUCUAGGAGAUGCUUUUAAAUAAAAAAGACGGUGGUGUUAAUUAGGCUCACUUUGUGUUAAGUUCCUUUUCCCUCUUCCGUGAAACCCUAAAAUGGUUUUCUUUCCCCCAAAGGAGAAGGCGAUCCAAAUUCUGAGGAGACACCUUCAAUUUCAUUGAGAAUAAUGAAGACAAAGUUAAAAUGUGCAUAAUGUUCUUCUGUCUGUGUGCACACUGAGUUUACAAUAAUGAACUCAACAGAAGAUAAACCAUCUAAAGCUAUGCAGUGCAAAAGAGCUUGAACUGGAGCAAAACUCAUAGGAAACAUCAA